AGGGUCGACUCAAGCUACAGUGGGGUCGACCCUCUCAAGAAUUCCAGAGACAUGGUUUUUGAGCAAUGUAUACUUGGGGUCGGCUCAUGUUCACUUGGGGUCGGCUCUAUUGGGGUCGACUCAAGUAUUUCUAGGGUCGGCUCCAUCUGGGGUCGGCUCAAGGAAGCUUGGGGUCGACCCUCUCAAUAAAUUUCAGAGAGUUGUUUUCUUGAGGCUUGAGGCUGGGUCGACUUAAGGUUCUCUGGGGUCGGCUCCACUCCUGGGGUCGACUCAAGCAUACAUGGGGUCGACUCCACUUACUGUUCAUCAGUGCCAUUUUUGCAGGGGUGUGCCAGAUGGUUUCAUGAUGUGCCAAGGUCGACUCCACUUAUGUUGGGGUCGACUCAUUCCACAUUUUGCUGCAUCUUAGGGUUAGAGGAAUCCAUAUAAUCAAUGAAAUAUAUUUCAAGUAAUUUUGGUGCUGCAUACUUUUAACAAUGAAAAUCACUGUUUUUCCUUUAAGAGUAUAUUUCACUUGAAAUCUUGCUGAAUUAGAAUUAAGAAUUCUCUAUUCCUUUUCUAUUAAAAAUUUUAUCUCGUUAUUAAUUAUUGGAAGACAUCUCGAUCUCAUUCUCUAAAUGUAUCACAUUAAAUUGUGUUUCUAAUUUGAUAUUUCCUCAAUGGUUGUGUCAAUCAUCGAAAUAACACUAUCGUCCUCAAUCUCUCCCUUUUUGAUAAUUAUAAAAUAUUGAGUAUGAACAGAUUGAUACUUAUAUUGAAAUUAGGAGUUUUGUUUUAGAAGGAGCUCAAGUUGCUGAAUUUCUGCUUUUCAAAUUUGAAGGUGAAGACUCCCGCUCUUUCAUCCAAAUAUUGCCAAUUAGAACUUUUGAUUUUCUCCCCCUUUCUUUUGUAUUUUAUUAAGGAUGAAACUUCAAAAAUUUAAGAUAAAGCAAGAGUUUCAGGUUAUGUAUCGAGGCAAGAGAAGUAUGUGCCAAAUUCAGAAAUUUCAUUGUUACAUAUUGCUCCCCCUUAAAUGAAUAUUAUCUCUUGCUAUUAUUUUCAAACUUAUUUGUCCCUUUAUGUUGCAACUUUUUUCUUUUCUUACUUUUUCCUCUUUUUGUUAUCAUCAAACAAGUGUAUAGCAAUAGAUAAGUAGAAGCAGUAAAUAAUAAAAAUUCAAAUUUCAUUGAUCAAAAUGGAACAUUGUAGUACAUUAAUGCCAAAAGUACAAUAUUCUUCAAUUAAGGUAUAAAAUACAUCAACCAGGUAAAAUGCAUAUAAGAACUAGAUAAAUCCUAGGCACUAGACAUGAUAGACUACUGUAGUGCUAACAUCGGGCCUAGGGAGAAUCUAAGAGCUGUGAUCUAGUCCUCAUCCUCCUAGCAUAAGUGGCGAGGGGAGGUCGAGCCUAAUGGGACUGAGUCUGGCGUGGACCUUGCUGAGCUGGAUGACUCUGUGCCGAAACCUCCGACUCAGCUGCUCGGGGCACAGAUGGACCAUGAGCCUCUCUCUCUCUCUC
rnacentral:lncRNA from 1 species